GGAAAGAGUGAGCUGAGAUAGCUAAAAUAGAACUCAAUGAUGCGGUCAUUGAGAUAAUAAGGACCAUUGAGAAUGUCCAAAUCUGAUCGCCGAAGAACGACAUCGUUGUAGCUGAGAAUCUUCUCAUCUGCUCCGGAUUUAGCCAUGGUGCCACUGCAAAUUGUUUCGGUAUAGGGUUCCGAUGAAUCUCUCCGUUCGUUCUCCGGCAACUGAUUUCUCAAACUGCUUGAACCGGAAACGUUGUUAUGAUUCCCGGUGGCACUCCGAUUUCAGGC
rnacentral:misc_RNA from 1 species